UCCUCCAUGACCUUGAGCUGUUUCCCUCUUGGCACCUCCGUUUCUACCCUGGAAACGGGAGGCGACGACACGUAUGGGGAGAAAGGCAAGGGAGGCCCUCUUCAGGGGGCCGGUUGUGGUCCAUCUGAAGGUAACAAUUAGCCAAUUUGUUUUACUGGGAAGCCGCCACAGGCCUUAUUAUAGCAGCCCCCUGCUCUGGCCCUUCCAUCUUGCAACGAAGGGGGCCAGGAAACGGCCGAGUCAGCCCUUGCUGCAACAACUUCUAGAAUCAGAAGGGGCCUUUCCGAGAAUCUUGCUGAACCCCGAGGGUGAGGAGUGUCUGAUUUUGCAGUGGGGGAAAGUUGGCAACGGAGCCUCCACUUCUAAGUAACCUUUGCCUCGGAAACUCGCCAACUAUCUGCCUGGAGACUUGCCUUUGAUCACAUCUUGUCACCUCCCAGGAGAUGUUCCACUUUCCAGGCAGGUGAAAAACGAACCCGAUUAAAAAUAGCAGACUGAACUCUAAAUCGCCGGGCGCUGGACUCCUCGCAGAAUCCCCUCGAAAAGCGAAACUACUGGUCCUCCUCCAAGUGGGGAAGAAGAAGAGCCACGCCCCUCCGGAGAAAGGGCUCGCUCUGCCAGGCAGGCUCCGGCUGCACUUAGAAAUUAAAGUACACUCCCCUGUCCGCGCCCCGGAACCCUGGCCGGCUGCUGCCUGUCCAAAACAGCCUGGGACCCCAGUGGCCAGAGAAACUGGGAGCAGCCCAAAGAAGGGGAAAGAAGAUGUGUUUAUGUGAAUUUCAAUAAGCAGUUGGUUCAGAGGCAAAACGAGUUUGUGUCAAGGUGCCUUUCAGUUCUUUGCUGCCCAAAUAUGCAUGGCCUGAACCUGCAGUCGCCUGGAGACCCUGGUUAUGGGUCAAAACUACUCCUCCAACCUCACAAUCUGUGAUAAACCUGAGUCGCCAGGAAAGCUUUAUGUAACACCCACCGGGUCCUCGGCUUCUCAGUGUUUUGUUUCCAGAGUUCCACAUAAACCUGGCAGCACAUCAAAACCUCUGUUUCAUAACAGACUAGAAAUAGGAUUUUCUAAUAACAUUCAGAAGAGCGGACUUAUCACGCAGGGAUCUGGAAUUUUAUGAAUUGUUGUUGGUUAACUAAACAAAGACCCCCACACCGCCCAGGCUGCUAUCCCUGGGGUUGAGAUGGGAAGAGCCAUCGGAAGAACGGCCUUUCUGCAUCUGUGAUCUGUUGGUUAGUCACCCAUGGUCCUUUUCAAAGAAUUUACUAAAUAAUCUCAAACAUAUUGAGGAUC